GAAUAUUAUGAAACCUUGAAGAAUGCUUUGCUAUAAAAAGAUUCCUGUAUAAAGGAAGGAAUAUUAUUCAUUUGGAGAGAAGUUUGGAACGGAGUAAAAUGAUGAUUUUUAAUGGACUGUUUUUUUUAUCACUGUUUCAUCAUUUUGUUUACGCAAAAAGUUGUGAGAUGUACCAUUCCUUUUUCCCCUGUUUAUUUCAACAAGAAACACGAUACAAAAUGUUAUAGAGAGCUCAUGAAAGAACGACGGUGUGUGUACGAUGGUUCGAAGGGAAUCUCUUUUAUUAGGAACGGAAAUUUCUUUUCAGCGUAAAUUGAAUGGAAGAUUUCCGUGCAGCAGGGCAUUCAAUUACGUGGUGGAUCAAUGGGAGCUCUCAAUGAAAUUUUAAUUGGAAAAGAGCAAGAUGUACAGGGCGAGAGAUGCAACAGAAUGUUCCUUGAUCAAAGGUGCAAUAGACGUUUCGAGCACAUCGUUUGCAACAUUAUUUUCGAUCUCAAGUUUCUCGCGAUUUAACUCAAUUAAAAAGGUAAAGGAAGGAGUAGACUUUAAUAGAAUAAUCAGUGUUGACUGCUAGGAGAGUUACCUAUUUAAUUUAAGACAUAUGGAAACUUUAAUUGUAAGACUAAAUUAGACCCAGCCAUGGUAAACGCGUUAACCAUUGCAAUAUUCUUGUAAACAGAAGAAGUGAAAGAAGCGAGAUAGAAAGAGCGAGGAAAACGUAGAAUGGGGAUUGGUAUCACCGUCUAGGAUUCUAUAAUCCGUACGAUCUUUAUCGUUAAAUUCUGUACCCGUGGACCGAUGCCUCGAUUGCGCAAUCAAGAUGGCAUCGAGAAAGGCAUCUCUCGCCUUCGACUCAAACUACCAACAAGUAUUUCAAUAUCCGCUCCAAUAUAUUCCCAUCGACCCUAUAAACGUGUGUGCAGUUAUAUUGGAUUCCCUUCCUCCUGCUUCUGCUUCGCUCUUUCCGUCUCCUUCGCGCACGUCCCGUCCCGUCGGUUUUUCCGUUCUCCCUUCCUUCGGGGUAGGUGAAACGAGCUCAACCAAUCGGCUGGUGACGUGCACACAGGACCGAGUCCCGUUUCUACGGGACGUGUGUGCAUAUCCACCCCGAAGGAAACCGCAUUUAAACGUGUUUGGUAACCCUGUAAAAGAUUCUUCGUCCCCGCGUUCUUCACCGCGAAGAAUGGGAACCUUCGGGUUAUUCCUGGGCGGCGAGGGACGUGACGGGAGAGCUAUAAGCGAGACGAUGAUCCUUUUAAUUUCCUCCUUAUUGAAGAUACCGCUGUUCUCAAUGAAAAUUAUUACAUCAUUUGUACCGAAGUCUUUGUAAUUUUUCUUACAAAUUCGGGGUUGACGAAUGGUACCAAUUUUUAAUUAACGUUAGAAUGUAUAAUCGUAAAACUUGGAAUCUUCUAUCUAAGAUCUAAUAUAUAAAACAAGCAUCCGGGAUUACACCGUUUUAAUAACGGUCCCAAAACGCGACAAAAGCGGUGUACGCGGUAGAAUGAUUCUGGAUAAUAAUCUAGGUAGAUUCUCUUGGGAUUAAUUAACCGUUUAAGAUUGUAGAUGAUAAAGAGAUACGGUGUACGGUCAACACAGAGGAAAUUUAUCAGAGAGCUUCUAUCCACAAGCACCUGGGCACACAUUAAAAUCAACCUCCCCCUUCGCGAUCAUCCUUUCAUAUUUUUCUCUCUAUUCUCUUUGUUGUCUCGUAAUCUAUACACACGAACCGUCGCUUAUUAUACUAAUAUGUCCAUGGUGAUCGCGGCGCAUCACCGUCAAAAGGGGUUUCCUCGUUCGAAUCUAAUUGUUCGCCCGGUUACCGUCCAAAGAAACCAAGUGAUACGGUCUGGGACUGGUUUUUCACCUAUGCUCCAGGAUCAAACGGAUACCCCUCUUCUUAUCCGUGAAUCUGUCCUCCAUGGUCCGCUGACUUUUUGCCCACCGAACAUCGUGGAUGUACCCGGAGUACGUAUCGGAAAGCGGGAUGGCUCUUGGCUUGGAAAAGGAAUGAAAAUUGUAAAUAGGACGAGCCGGUGAAUCUGUUAGUUCAACCACUGCGGACUUUUAGACUAACAAUGUGAAGUGGAAAAGAGCAAAACAGGCUUGACAAAAGAGAAGAUGGAAGAUACUCUUGCAAGCAUCGAAUGGCUAAGUAAAACCUGGAGGAUGGAUGUAAGAAAAGAAAAAUGGUAACGGAUAAUUGAAAAAUAGAAGAAGUGCCCGGAGCGUGGCUUUACGCGAUCCAUGGUUAUCGAGCAAGAAUGGACGCGUUGUACUGGAUCAACCGCACAAUGAGUCGAUUCGAUGAAAGGGUUUUGCAAUGGUACCCACGUUUAUAACCGGGUGUAUAUCUGCAGGGGAUACAGGACACGGGGAUGACAAGCCCACUGUUAAAAAGCAUCCCUCGACCUCUCCUUCGGGGGUACAUUACGUCGUAUGGAAACAGUGGGUCAUCAGGAUGUUCCCGUGCUUUCUCUAUCAAUCAGCCUGUCUCAAUGGCGACACAUUGUGUAAUUCAAAAUGAAUGCAAGGGCCAGGCCCAUUGGGGUAUAAUUGUUUCACGACAGGUCCUGGCAUCAACGUUCAAGAAACUCAGGCUCAGCUUGCUUUUCCAAAUCGAACAAUGGAGUAUGCGCGUGUAUAGAAACGGAUAUCUCGUUACACCGUAAUCGAGGAAUAAUCGAUCGCAAAGUUGUAGCACAAGGCAAAUUGCUGGGCGUGGUGAGAACGAUCCAGGAAACUCGAGAGGGCAAAAGACAAGGGCUGCGUGGCAGAACGAGGAAAUCCGAGAUUUUUCUUCCUUUCCUCUCGCCCGUGAACCCCUCUACCCGUCGACGAGGGGGGUCAGUCCUUUAUUUUUCGUGGUCAUGUAAAAAAGCUUUUUAUUCACGGACCCGUGUUCACCCUCGAUUGAACGACGCGCGUGUACCGGGGACCAAACAGAGAUUUCUCUUUCAUGGAUCUUUGAACCGGGUUAAUUAGGGGACUUUGACGAAGGUUGUAGCGGUUUAUCGAUGCGCCAAAAGAGAGGAAAGUCUUUAAGGAAUCGAAUCAAGUUGUAACCACUGGUGGUUCAAGGUACUCAGACGCGACACGAGGAGUUUUAUUAUUUUUUAUUUUUUUCCACCGAUCGUCAACAGCAUUCCUUUUUUUGGCACAAGGAAGAAGAAGGGGAGAGACGUAGUAGAGUAUGAUGACAGCGGAAAGACACGACCACCAUAGAGAGAAUGUCGAUUUCGUGUUUUAACGAACGCGAGGAAGACACGCGGAAUGGACGUUGUCGAUAUCGUUUUCACGAACGACACGUACGUAUAAGUUACGAUGAUGUGAGGGGCAGAUCCAUUAGACUAUGCAAUUGUCCACGUAUUGCAUUGUCAGCCACCAUGGAGAUUUCUAUUCAGAAAUCGCGGAAGUCCCCGGAUGCAUUGACGAGAGGUAGAGAAUGAUCGAGGACCGGGCUCUUGUUGCGAGAAGGAAAGAGAGAACGGGAUAGAGAGACGGCUAGACGUGAUCGACAAGGAUACUGGUUACUCGUACUUCUCAUUUUUUCUCCCUAAUUGUCGUGCGUGAUAUCCGUGUCCACCGGGGGAUCGAUCCUUCCAACCGUAGACGCGUGUCACUCUGUCACUUUCUGAAGCCGAUCUUAACUCUUUUAUUUUUCUUCUCGAUCAACAUUUAUAUUUUGCAACUUUCUAAUCGAUCUACAAUCGUUUUAGAUCAUAAUCGAAGGUGUAGAAAUCGUUAGUUCGUUUCUUCCAGGAUGCCGAUCCGCUGCACCAUUAAUAACGUCGUGACAAAAGGGUGUUCGAAGAUUCAACCGAUCAUGCAACGAAGAUUUAGUGGCCUGUACGAAAGGGUAUAAAGAAGAAUCGGAAUGAAGUUGUUCGGUGGUCCUCUCUCGGGUACGCGUGGGCGGUGCUUCGUGGCCCCUAUCUUUCUUUCGCCAACAAAAACGUCGCAAGACCCUCGACAUUUUGCGUAUUCCGCGUACUUCACCGCGUCUCCUCGAGAGCGUAAGGAGAACAGAGAAGAUAGAAAAAGAUAUCAUGAAUCAUAGAGGAAGAGACAGAGAGAGAGAGAGAGAGAGAGAGAUGAAAUAUAAGGGAGAGAGACUCGGGAUCGUUCUGUCGUAGUAGUUGGACGCGAAGGAGGUACGCGGAGAUGGUCCGGGCAGUUAGGGGCAUUAUAUACCUAACAGGAAGAGAGACAAAGCGAACAAAACACUGUCGGGGCGUCGCUCCGCAAACACAGCGCCUCUUGGUAGAUGAAGAGAGAAGAAAAGUGAGAGCGAAGAACUAAAACUUGGAACAAAAGUCCUCACUUUUGUUCCCUCGAAAGUUUUUCGAAUUAUGGCCGUGGCGGAGAGAACAGACCAAGGGCACCCGGAAAGGUAAAAGGUGCUGGUGGUGGUGAGGGAAAGAUGGCCACGACGGAGGAGUUUCCGCGAGAGAGCUUGUACUAUGAUUUCGCGCUGACGACUCGACGGCGCUGAUAAUUUCCACACUGACGUCUUCGACGCUGCCACCUUGACGCGAUCACCUCUGGUCGUAGAAUCCCCAGCUAGACGGGAAACGUUUGAAUGUUUCACCCUAUCCAGUUAGCCCCGUCUCUGUUCUUGCUCCACCCCUCGACCGUCGUGGCCACAAUAGAGAGUGGGAAGCCUCUUUCUAUGGAUCACACAAUGGAUAUAGUAUAUCAAACAAAUUCGACCCCGCGAAAUUAUUGGCCACGGUAAUCCCACGUUACCGACCCCCAUGGACCAUAGUUCUCCCAUCGGCACCGGCACGUGACCCAUACCAGGACACAAGGGGGUUGGAAACCACCGGUGAAAACUCAGCCAUGAAAUGCGGAGAUGUAGGUUGAAUUUAAAUAUACCGGAAUUUGAUCGGAUCAUAACGGCAGUGGAUAUGAAUCGCAUCCUGAUUUAUGGCAAAGUACAUAACAAAGAUUUCGAUGGCAAAUCCAGAGGCGACACGUCCUUCAUUCUGACAGGAUUGAAAGCCGUAAAAAUCCUUGUCGGACGAAAGGGUAGCCCGAUCUAGGUACGCAUGCGUUUGACAGAGUAGAUAUAUUUCGAUCAUGGAUUUUCGAUAGGCUGCAAGGAUUAGGGGCUACCCUUCGGCUAGUGCGUUUUGUUCGAAACAAUGCUCGACUUAACUGAUUGGCCGGUGCCCUGCUACCGUCCGCGUUCGAUGAAUAACAGAGUGACGAUGUGAAGCUUCUACGUGUUUGCACCAUGAACGGUAACACUGGAUGACAAUAAUUGCUGCAAAAAUUAUUGCAUCCUAAUGUUUCAACCCUUUGAAUAGCGGUGUCACAAUUUGCUGAUGUAUCAAAAUGGAAAUAGAAUAUGGUGAACCGUUAGAAAAUCGAAGAAAGAGAGAAAGAAUGGUGGGCGUAACUGGCGAUAAUUUGCAUGGAAAUUUUUAUCGGCACCACCGAAGAGGCAAUAUCCGGCAGACGCGUUUAAGAUCCGAGACCGGAUAAUAAUAGCCAGCAGAAAUGGCAUCGUAAUGCUGGGAAUGGGUGACACAAGAACCGCUUGCCAUCGGUACACAUCCCCUCGCGCUCUUUUUUGGGGUGCUUAGUAUUUUUAAAUUUCUGUUAUGGAAAUUGAGGAGGUGUAUUUGUAGCGAAAAGGUGUGGAUGCUGAAGACUCGACGCUGAGCCUAGGAAAUCGUGAGGACCCAAAGCUCGCUUCUCAAGGACGUAUCCCCUCUACGAUAAAGAUCCAGAUCUCUGAAUCCGCGUAUCAAGAGCCAAAGGAUCGACGCUGAAACACUCGACGGAGCAUUAUAGAGAAUCCUUUCAAGUCACGCGAGGAGGACCCAUCGCACCCACAGCUCUUGGUGAUCUUCAGCUUCUUCAUCUUGGGGAUCAGCGAAUACUCGCACAUCCUUGAACUCGGUCCACGGUUAGCAUAAGCAGACCGAUCGUCCUGGUGAAGGAUCAUUCGACCGGCCAUAUUCUCGAUCCAAGUCCCUCGGCUAUUGCAGGCAGGUAACCGGUGCCGGCGUAAGGAGCUGCGAGGAACCUGUGUCUCGUCGAAGGGAUGGGAGUGGUGCAGUAGGCAGCACGGGUCGCGUAUGCCGACACCGAAGCGGACGCCGCGGCUGCCGACGCCAACGCGCCUGCCAAUGGAGAGAAGGCUGACUUCGGUUGAAGGCUAUCCUCGCAGACCAACACCUCCAUGGCGGAUACUACGUCGCCUGUGACACAGACAGGGCCUACCUUUGCAUCGAUGCAGCAGAGCUUCCACGUCCGCUCGACGUCUUCCUGGAAACACUCGCAACAACACGUCUACCGGAGAUCUUUGCUGUUGUUGCUGUUGUUGUUGUUGCUGCUGCUGCUGCUGCUGUAAUUGCAGCCCACACGUCUGUUGGAUGUUUUGCAUCUGCAUCUGCAUUUGAAUCUCACGAGGUUCGGGCAUGUGGUGGUGGUGCUGAUGCUGGUACAGGGCUGGAGAACAGUACAAGGAACUUGCCGCUGGACCGUACAGAGGUGCAUAGGGAGGAAAAUGCACCGCCGUCGCUGCAGCCUGAAAAGAUACUCCGAGAUGUUCUUUGACCAACGAACCGAAUAAGCAGAGACUCGAAAAAGUUUCUUCAACGCCAGGAAGAUCCUUCACCACCGACUGUUCUACACGGUGUGAUAUGAUCGAGCGAGAAGGGAGAAGAAGAAGAACAAGCGUACAGCCUUAGGCGAGGUGUGCACGGUCGAGUGAAAUAAUUUCCUGGUGUCCUUAACAGCGACGAAAGAGGAAGAACGGAAGCUAACUGGUCUUUCACAAAGUUUCUUGGACACUCGAAGAAGCUUCUACUGUGAGAAACUGGCGGCGGAUAAUGGUCUCCGCGAGUAGACGAAGGAGAACCGAGUGAUCCUUCCGGAUAAAGGGUGUACCUUGUAUGCGUGUACCGACCCUCUUACAAAGCGUAUCCUCCCUCUUCGAGGGAAUCCACUGGAAAGAGCAAAUCUCCUUUUACCGAGUAAUGAUUGCGACAGGUCUUUGAUACUGACUCUUGGGUGUUAUCCAAAUUGACCCAGAAGUCACAAUGGAGCUGGCCCUUUCCAAGGAUUAAAAUACAUAGAACACCGUAUCAUUGAGAGUUUGUGGAUGUAAAAGGAGGGGGUGAAGAGUGCAUCAACCCUCUCUCUUAGCAGGAAGAAUAGGAGUCCGAGGAAGCAACGAAGCAACUAAGCAACCAGUCGAGAAUCCCUCGCGGUGGGUAGGCAGUGGCCCGAGAAAUUCAAUUACGGCUAAACUUCUCCAGUGAAGACGCGGCUCGUCUGUACACUACUGUAAGCACUCUGUUUCGAAGAUCGAACCGAGGAGACAUCCCCUGUGUACUCGCGACCCUCCACUUUUCAACGGGUGGCGCAGGGGGGAAGAAGAGAAGGCGUAGGUGUAAUUGAAACCGAGCGAAAUCGAAGUUUCAAUCCCCUGGCCCUGGCUGAGAAUGCUGCCUCCUUGCACAAACCUCUUCGACGAGAAAAGAAUCGCGAGAAGUGAUUUCUGUCCGAUCCAAACCUGUCGCUAAACGUUCGAUUCGCUAUUACUACCACCAAUUAUUUUCUUCAUUUUUACGUGUUUCAGACGUGUAGCUAUUCGACUGAUUGUUAAGGAUGGAUAAUUGGAUAAUUAAGAAAGUCUGUAGAGGAUGAUUCAAUCACUGAAGCCACAAUAAAAUCAUAGCACAGAUAUUUGGAAGAAAUAGGUAAAUCUACCUCAAUUCUACAAUACUUAGAGUGAUCGUAUUGAGGUGAUCCGACAAGAGGGUGCAAGGCUCGGAAACAGAAUCUGAAGAAGGUUUAGCGUUACGAUCCUUCAUCGAUCAAAUUACCAAGUGUUUUAUUCCUUGGUGAAAUAUAGAGGGUCACUUGAGAAUGGCUAAAUCUGUGCAACACAAUGUCCCUAUAGAAAAUGAAUCUUUACACUAUGAUGGUUCUUGAUAGCACUCGAGUUAAAGUACAUGUAAAACGAGGAAAUGAGAAAGUCACAUGUUUCGAAAGACCCUCUGGCUAAUUUGAAUCAUUUUACACUUCCGUGAUCCGUUUCACGAAGCCCGUGGGAAAGGAAACAACACCCUUUGCCGGCUGUUAAUCGAAUAACUUGCCAAGUAUCAUGCCACUGAUAAUAUCACACUGCCGUUACGAUUUCUGACUAAAUGGAACGUCGUUUGAAAUUAACUUCAAGUAGGUCAACUGAAAUAACGUUACCUGGGCAGCCAUGACCCGUUGCCUCUCGGCGAUCAGUGUACAUUUCGCGCACACACAGUCCCGCCAACGGCAGUACCGUUUGUGACCCUUCAAAGCGGAUACGACCCCGUGGUUCCUGCAUCUCGCGCACUUCGGUGUCCUUUGGUAUCUCUCAGCACUGGCACGAAGGAAGAACGCGGCUGGUAGCACGUGAUGUUGCUGUUGUUGCUGUUGGUGUUGCAUCAAUUGACCGACGUCAACACCAAGACCGACACCCCGCGGCAACGACAUCGUUAACCGAUCCGAAGGAAACCAGAACACUAGAGAAAACUCUUGCAGAAUGGACGAACGAAACCGUGUCACGGAUCAAUGUACAUCGUUACCGAACGCACUGAACAGAUCCUCGAUGGAUUUCGAUCACCGUCGAUGAUUCUUUCCAGCCAAGCAUGAAGCCCGAUAUUCACUGACACGCGUCCCUCUCAUUUCUCUACACCUCCGUUAACCCUUCGAAUUCAGCCACUGUUAACAUCAAUGUCCGAUCGGCACUGUUUCCCAAACGAAUAGCCACCACGUCAGCCUCUUCUUACUUCAACCGAAGAAAUCACAUUUAACGCUGUGGUGUUCGGUAGAGAAACUCUCGAACCGGCACACGGUUAAGCCAGCGAACGAGCAAGAGAGAGGCUUGAUAAAGUAAUAAGGAUCGAGGGAUGGCCGUAUCAGGGGGUUGAUUAAAAAGAGAAGGACUGUGCUAGACUCUCGCGCACGCGCCCACACUCCCGGUUAAGGUUCACCAGCAGAGCAGAGAGAAGAGCCGACCGCACCAGCACCGUUCGUACGGGUGUCGGGGUACGAAAUGCGGAAUCGCCCCGACCUCCUAUCGCAGCAGCUCUCUCUCGCUCCUCGGCAUUGUCAACAAUUGCAGCAUCCCGGGGUGAGUCGAUUCAGGUAGCACCGGAGAGACAGAGAACCGGUGGCGCGCGGUAGUGGUGUGUCGACAGCCAAAGAGGGAGCCGAAGGCGGACGGAUAAGGAAAGGAGGGAGGUGAAUUCGGAGGGGGUGUAGAAGGGAGCCUAGGUUGCGGGAAUAUAUAUAUACACGUCAGGCCAGAGAGAGAAUGAAACAGGGAGCAAAUGGAGAAGUGCGGAGGAAAAAUGUGGAAAAGUGAACAGAGCCAGAGGAUGGGUAAGAAAAGAAACGAGUUUUAAUGAAAGGGGAUGGAUAGAGGGAGAAAGUGAUACGCCAGACGGAGAUAAGUGUACGAUGAAAAAUGAUAGAGAAACGAUAAGAGAGAGAGAGAGAGAGUGAGAGAGGAUAGAUGAUAUUUCUACGGGGAGGGAUAGGGCAGAAACUAACAGCCCCUCCACAGUUGCACGAAAUAAAACACUGUGCCACAGUGUUCCACCCCGGGGCUUCGGCCAAACGGCGCGGCGCGCUUAGGCACGGCCACGCCCGCGCACCUAUCCCAUUGGCCGAACCCGCUGUUCCACCAAGAUGUUAAGAGUUUAUAUCUGCUUGGGGUGAAAGGGGGACAUACCUAACCGCGUACCCACCUACCUACUCACCCUCGAUAAACUAAAUGCGUAUAGAAAAGCCCGACGCGCGUAUCAGACGUGUGUAUUUUUCCUCCUCUAUUCCUCUCCACCUCCUUUACUACGCCCGAAACGGACAAACACAUUACUCUUUUAUUUAGAAAAACCCGUUUCCAACGUUCAACGCACAAUACCACCGAUGCUCAGACGUUUUACUACUCUAUGCUCCGCCUUUUGUUUCGACUGGCACUGUGUUUUUAACCCAUGCACGCCUUCUUCGUCCCCUUCGGAACGAAGAACGUGUCCCUUCUUUUCUCUCUUCUCCUUCUUCCAUCGACACCGCUCACGCUUCCUCGCGGUUCGUUCUCUUUCCUUCUUCGUUUCGUUUCUUUUUUUUUUUUCCUUUCUUUUUUUAUUAUUAUUUUUCGGAUCCAUCGAGUUCGCUUUCUGUAAACCACACGGGCACACCGUCAACGACGAGCCUUUCUUGAAUCAUAUUCUACAAUGAGCUUUCAAUGGGGGGGAAGCCCUAUUGUCGUCUCCACAAAUGGCGACCGAUUUCAUAGUGAUCUAAUGUACAGAUGUUAUUUACCCCGCAAUGAGAACGGAAUAAAAGGCAUUCUAUGUAUUAAACCGUUCUAUGAUUUUGGAUCAUGUGUAUAUAUAUAUAUAUAUACCUACUCUUUACAAGGGCACAAUGCACAAGGAUGAAAGAGUCUAAUGCAAAAUGAAGGGGAUCCUUGACCAAUCACAGAAUCACCCUUCACACCCGAGUACAUUAAAUAACAAUGAAAUUUGCGAUCUUUCGUUGAAUUGCACGUUUGAACGCGUAUGAUCGAUUAAUCUGCCAACGGGCGUCAUUAGUAAAAUUCAAUGACGGUUUGAGCAACAUUAAAAAGCUUCUGUGAAACGGGUUAGCCGUCGAUAUACCAGUGUACGCCCGACACGGACCAUUUUUUUACUCUGGCAUAUCAAGCACUCAAAAGCGAACGUACACGCCGAUGGAUAAAUCAAUAAACCAAUAGCUAUGGAUGGUCGAAUGGAAAAUCGUAAUCUGGGAAAUAACGAAUGAUACAAUAGCGUUCGAGCCUCUUCAGAACGUUUCCUUUAAAACGUUAAGCUUCUCCCACGAUUCUUAACAUCCUCGCCUUCGGAUGUUUCCACAAGUAUCUGAUUGAUCAACGGUAGCAGGUACACUUGCACAUUGAAUCUCCCCUAGGGCUGUUUGCGUUUAGGGAGCAGAGAUCAAGAUCAAAAUCGCGUCUGUAUCGAGUUACAAUGUUUGCCAACAUCUACGAUCGGCAACACCAAGGAAACAGCUGAUCGAAUCGCUUCUGAUCGGAUAACAGAGAUUAGGAUACAGAACAAUGUUGUGCCAUCAAUUGACUCAAUCAGGAAUUGUCUAUGUAUUCAGAGAAGUUCCGAAAAAUGGUGUCGAAUCGGAGCCGCCAUAUAGAUGGAUGCAUUUGCAGGAAUUUCCUGCGUGUGCUGACCGGACCUGGACUUAAGUCACCGUCUGAUUACUAAGGGCUCGGACCAUGGACUCGACGUGCCAUUAAACAGAACCGCCACUUGCUUCUUAAUAAAGUUCCAUCAUAGAAUCUUUGAUGUUUAAGUUGCAAUAAAUCAAGAUUUUAUGCUUCGUUUCCAUUCUGAACGAAUUUAAGUUCCUCUUCUAUACUCAAUAAUUACAAAAUUAGUAAUAUUUCAAUUGUAAUUAGUGUCUGUUUUUUUUAGGGUAGGUAAUGAAACGUGAAGAGGAAAUAAAGAUACAUUUUGGCAGAACCACGCGAAUGGAGGUGUAUAGUUGAAGAGGGUGAAAUGGGCGUGGUUAGCAACCCUUGGUGAGACAGUGUCGACCAAUGCCCGUACCCUUGGCCGAUAUCGCAACUGUUGCAAACGCAAGCGCCGUCAGGGUUGUUCCUGUGAACCUCUGGUGAUAGGUUGAUGUGCAAGGCUGUUUAAUGUAACGGGCGCAGACUCGACUUAGGGGACACUGUUCCAAAAGGUUACGCCUCGCAUUCACAUUGGUUAUGCAUCAACCCGUUCCUCCUCAAGCAUUUGCAACCCCUACUUUUCUUAAUCGUUAAAUUGGGUAUCGUAUGCAAAAAUAAAAUAAAAUAAUUUACUUUCUUCA